GACGAACGCUGGCGGCGUGCCUAAUACAUGCAAGUCGAACGAACCGCGACUAAGUGCUUGCACUAAGUCAAGGUGAGUGGCGAACGGGUGAGUAACACGUGGGUAACCUACCUCAUAGUGGGGGAUAACAGUCGGAAACGACUGCUAAUACCGCAUAGGACAUAGGAUCACAUGAUCCAGUGAGGAAAGGUGGCGCAAGCUAUCGCUAAGAGAUGGACCCGCGGUGCAUUAGCUAGUUGGUAGGGUAAAGGCCUACCAAGGCGAUGAUGCAUAGCCGACCUGAGAGGGUGAUCGGCCACAUUGGGACUGAGACACGGCCCAAACUCCUACGGGAGGCAGCAGUAGGGAAUCUUCCGCAAUGGACGCAAGUCUGACGGAGCAACGCCGCGUGAGUGAAGAAGGUCUUCGGAUCGUAAAGCUCUGUUGUUAGAGAAGAACAGCGAAUAGAGUAACUGCUAUGCGUGUGACGGUAUCUAACCAGAAAGCCACGGCUAACUACGUG
rnacentral:rRNA from 1 species